rnacentral:rRNA from 1 species
UACGUAGGUGGCAAGCGUUGUCCGGAAUUAUUGGGCGUAAAGCGCGCGCAGGUGGUUCCUUAAGUCUGAUGUGAAAGCCCACGGCUCAACCGUGGAGGGUCAUUGGAAACUGGGGGACUUGAGUGCAGAAGAGGAAAGUGGAAUUCCACGUGUAGCGGUGAAAUGCGUAGAGAUGUGGAGGAACACCAGUGGCGAAGGCGACUUUCUGGUCUGUAACUGACACUGAGGCGCGAAAGCGUGGGGAGCAAACAGG